GGUGAUUCUGGGAACCACAGGUUGUCAUUGUCCCUGGCACUAAGAGCAGAAAGGCAAAUAUGGUGCCAGUGACUCAGACCUGCAUUGCUGGUACCUCACGGGGGAGAUGCAGUGCAGGAAGGGACCUGCCAUCCUCAUCCCCUGCUUGGUACCUGUAAGCACUGAGUUUUCUGUCACCCUGCCCUUGUCCCAGUGGGUUGCCUGGCCCUUCUCUCCUAGCAAACACAGAGAAUCAACAUUGUUGAUUCAGCUGGACUUUGCCUUGGGAUCCCAUGUGUUCCACAUUUGAAAGCAGAAUCUGUACUGACAAGUACCCAGGAUGAGUAUGGGAGAGUCAAGGGAUCCUGAAGGGCAGACAGCCCAAGCCAGCCCCAGAAGCCUCUUGUUGGAAAAUCAAGGACAGAGUGAAAAUUGAAGAAAAAAAAAAAAAGAGGAGGAAUGCUUCAAAGAAAAUGUCAUUUAAGUGUAAGUACAAUGUAUUUGCAUUCAAUAU
rnacentral:lncRNA from 1 species